AACGAACGCUGGCGGCAUGCCUAACACAUGCAAGUCGAGCGCCCGUAGCAAUACGGGAGCGGCGCACGGGUGAGUAACGCGUGGGAACCUGCCCAGAGGUUCGGGACAACCGCGGGAAACUGCGGCUGAUACCGGAUGAUACCUGAGGGUCAAAGAUUUAUCGCCUUUGGAGGGGCCCGCGUCAGAUUAGGUAGUUGGUGAGGUAACGGCUCACCAAGCCUGUGAUCUGUAACUGGUCUGAGAGGAUGACCAGUCACACUGGGACUGAGACACGGCCCAGACUCCUACGGGAGGUAGCAGUGGGGAGUAUUGGACAAUGGGGGCAACCCUGAUCCAGCAAUGCCGCGUGGGUGAUGAAGGCCUUCGGGUUGUAAAGCCCUUUCGGCGGGGACGAUGAUGACGGUACCCGCAGAAGAAGCCCCGGCUAACUUCGUGCCAGCAGCCGCAGUAA
rnacentral:rRNA from 1 species